GUUCUAUAAUCAUUCACAGGGUCCUCAGCGGCUGCAUCAACAACAUGGACCAAUAGCCGAGUUCUUCUAAGGUGCCUCAAAAAGUUACGACCAAGACCCUUCCCCAAAUGAGCACCUUCUAUAAGACCAGGCAAAUCUGCCAUUGUUGCUUCAGAUGAAUACAUUGCUGCCCCUAAAGUCGGAUCACCAUCUAGGCGCCCAAGAUUUGGCAUCAACGUUGUAAAAGGAUAAUCAGCAAUUUCAGGUUUAGCAUUUGUUAUAGCUGCCAAGAGUGUCGAUUUUCCAGCAUUUGGAAGACCAACUAGACCAACAUCAGCAACAAUUCGUAGAAUCAAGUCCAAACUAACCUCUUCCCCAGGCUGACCAAAAACUAGAACCUUAUCAUUGUCAUCUCUUAACACAUUUGUGGUUAAAGCCAUUAAUCUUUUCCUCCUAUGAUCUGG
rnacentral:misc_RNA from 1 species